rnacentral:pre_miRNA from 1 species
CAUUAAAUGAUGAUGUGACAGUUGGAGUGUCACGUCAUCACGCCUUGUGGUGGACAUAUCAUCACCUUUAAUGACGUGUUAGUGAUUAAGCGUGAUGACGUGACACUCCGUCUAUCACGUCAUCACUUAAUG